rnacentral:rRNA from 1 species
GAUGAACGCUGGCGGCGUGCUUAACACAUGCAAGUCGAACGGAAAGGCUCCUGCUUGCAGGGGUACUCGAGUGGCGAACGGGUGAGUAACACGUGGGUGAUCUGCCCUGCACUUCGGGAUAAGCCUGGGAAACUGGGUCUAAUACCGGAUAGGACGAUGGUUUGGAUGCCAUUGUGGAAAGUUUUUUCGGUGUGGGAUGAGCUCGCGGCCUAUCAGCUUGUUGGUGGGGUAAUGGCCUACCAAGGCGUCGACGGGUAGCCGGCCUGAGAGGGUGUACGGCCACAUUGGGACUGAGAUACGGCCCAGACUCCUACGGGAGGCAGCAGUGGGGAAUAUUGCACAAUGGGCGCAAGCCUGAUGCAGCGACGCCGCGUGGGGGAUGACGGCCUUCGGGUUGUAAACUCCUUUCGCUAGGGACGAAGCGCAAGUGACGGCACCUGGAGAAGAAGCACCGGCUAACUACGUG